rnacentral:rRNA from 1 species
UCGUACCGAUAACCGCAUCAGGUCUUCUAGGUAAGUACGCUAUGGCCAUUGAGGCAUGAUAGUUCAGGGAAUUCGGCC